rnacentral:rRNA from 1 species
GACGAACGCUGGCGGCGUGCUUAACACAUGCAAGUCGAACGGAAAGGCCCUGCUUUUGUGGGGUGCUCGAGUGGCGAACGGGUGAGUAACACGUGAGUAACCUGCCCUUGACUUUGGGAUAACUUCAGGAAACUGGGGCUAAUACCGGAUAGGAGCUUCUGCUGCAUGGUGGGUGUUGGAAAGUUUCGGCGGUUGGGGAUGGACUCGCGGCUUAUCAGCUUGUUGGUGGGGUAGUGGCUUACCAAGGCUUUGACGGGUAGCCGGCCUGAGAGGGUGACCGGCCACAUUGGGCCUGAGAUACGGCCCAGACUCCUACGGGAGGCAGCAGUGGGGAAUAUUGCACAAUGGGCGGAAGCCUGAUGCAGAAACGCCGCGUGCGGGAUGACGGCCUUCGGGUUGUAAACCGCUUUCGCCUGUGACGAAGCGUGAGUGACGGUAAUGGGUAAAGAAGCACCGGCUAACUACGUG